rnacentral:lncRNA from 1 species
ACGCAGUCCCCAGGUUGAGUUUUGGUAUAGAGAAGAGUCUUCUCAACCUCUCUCCGAUUUUGAGGCCCUCGUCACUAUUGGUCAAGUUCUUCGAUUUGAAGAAGGAGCGAGUCCGAUUCAUUGUUGUUCAUUGGUAACCUAAGGGACAUCAGAGUUUAAGCCAACACCUCCUGAAAAACUAGAGCAGGGACUGUGUUUCAAUUACGUUGGCCUGUUUACUUAUCAAGGAAAGCAUCAAUCAAGAAACCGCUAAACCUCAAAAUGGAAGGGAGUGAAGAAGGAAAGUAAAACCAUAGUGGAAAAUAAUCUCCUUGGAUGCAUUUUCAACAUUCAAAUCUUUCAAAGGAGCAAAUUCUUGACUGGAUAUUGAGAAACUGCCUUGCAGCACAACUCUCUUCUUUCGAUAUUGCAUUGCUAUUGUUGUUGCUGUAGUGAAAGGUUGGAGUACUAGGAGUGGUGAUUAGCUAGGCUAUGCCUUAAGCAAAUUAAGAUCAUGGCACCAAAGAAUAGAGC